AAGCUACUGAAUCUGUAUUUAGUCAGGAUCCGUCUCUGCUUUAGAUCUCUGACAGUGUGCACAUACUCAGCCAAUUUAUAUUCUCUGUUAAGAGUCAAAUAAUAAUGUAGUCUACUUUGUGUUUUUGUUUGACUUUUCCAAUGUUCUAAAUAUUGAUCUUUUGUAUGAUUCAUAAUCUGUUUAGUUCUGUUGUAUUGUUUUGAACUAGUGCUAAUGGGAGCCUCAUUAGUUAGCUUCACCAUCAGCUGACUGAGGGCACUGUUUUCAGGAUUCAGCUCUUGGGUUUUUAGUGCUUUAAAAUGAAGUGUGUCUUUUUGGCUUAAAUUAAGAUGUGUCUAAAAUGUAAUAGCUUGUUUCUGUAUAUUUAGCAGUAAUGGAAAACGUCCCAGUUCUGCUCGACAGGCAUUAUUUGGGGUUUUCCUUUGAACGUUUAGAAUUCUUCUACAGAAUUCUGUGUGUAGGGUCUCUAUCGGGUGUUUGUCCCAGGAGUCAUGCUCCAAUCUACUGAGUGGGCCCCAAACUUCACUUCCAUAAAGUGCUAUCGGUACAAUUACACUAUCAAAUAUUUUAGUCCAGAUUCUAAUUGGGAUGUUAAUGCUGAACAGCUUGGUUUUUAAUGCAUACAUCGCCCUGCGUGCUUUUUCUUUAAGUGAAUGUAUGGCUUUAUUGAAAUUCCCUGAUGCAGAUAUGGUCAGACCAAGGUAAGUAUAAUUUUGUGUGUCUUUAAUUUGGGUGUUAUUCAGAGUAAAAUGGUAUUUGGUUUCAAGACAUCUGCCUUUUUUUUUGAAAGAUCAUAAUUUGAGUUUUCUUGAAAUUGACCUCCAAUGCCCAGUUAUGGCAGUAUUGUUCCAGGAUGGACAGGUUAUGUUGAAGACCAUCUCUGGUUGGAGACAACAAAAUAAGGUCAUCUGCAUAAAGCAGGUAUAUAAUCUCUGUGUCUAAGAGUGUGAGGUCUGGAGCUGCUGAUCGGACCAACUGGUCUGCAAGUUCAUUUAUGUACAGGUUGAAUAAUGCAGGACUUAUACAGCAUCCUUGCUUCACACCGCAUCCUUGGGUAAAAUAUUCUGUUCUUUGAUUAUUAAUUUUCACAGCACAUUGAUUGUGCUUGUACAUACAUUUGAUAAGGUCAUAUACCUUGCCACCUAUUCCACUUUGAAGGAUUUUGAAGAAAAGUCCUUCAUGCCAAAUGGAGUCAAAGGCUUUUUUAAAGUCGAUGAAACAAGCAAAUAUUUUCCCUCCCUUUUUUUGGUGGACAUGUUUGUUAAUUAAAGUAUGUAAGGUGUAUAUAUGAUCGGAGGUUCUGUAACUUGGAAGAAAGCCAAUUUGGCAUUUACUAAGUAUGUUUUUUUCUUGAAUAAAGGUUAGUAUCCUUGAAUUUAGGAUACUACAGAAUAUUUUCCCAAGGUUGCUGUUGACACAGAUCCCUCUGUAGUUGUUAGGGUCUGAUUUAUUUCCAUUUUUGUGGAUUGGGGUUCCAGACAUCAGGAAAGCAGCCAGAUGUCAGCACCAUAUUGAACAGUUUAACAAUUGCAAUUUGUAACUCGGGGGUACUGUUUUUCAGCAUUUCAUUUUUUAUGCAAUCUGUGCCACAAGCUUUUCUUGAUUUAAGAGAUUUCAGUUUGUCUGUUAACUCUUUUUGUGUAAUUUGAUAAUCUAAUGGAUUUUGGUUAGUUUUGAUGGCUGAUUCAAGAUUGUCUAAUUUUGAUUUAAUAUCAGUUUGGUUUAUGUUCAGGUCUUCAGGUGGGAUACUUUUGUAAAGGUCACUGAAGUAUUUUUCCCAGAUGUCUCCAUCUUGUACUGCCAAUUGUUGUGGCUUUGUGGUUUCUAAACUGUUCAACAUGUCCCAGAACUGACCCUGGUUUACUGCGUUUUCAAUCUCCUGAAGUGUUUGGUUGGUAUAGUGGAAUUUCUUUAGUCUUAUGGUCUGUUUAUAUUGUUUCAGAGUUUCAAAGUAUUCAUGUUGUAGUGUUGGGUCAUGUUGGUUUCUGUGUUUUUGGUUUGAUAGCUGUCUUAAAUGUUUCCUCAUUUCUUUACAUUCACUGUCAAACCAUUUUUUAUCAGAGUUUUUUUGUUCACUGUUAUGGUGUUUUCCUUUUGUUUUCCCAAGUUUGGCAUUUAAUGCAGCGUUUUGGAAGAUAUGGGUAAUGUCUUUUGUUGCUUUGUUAACGCCUUCAAAUGUAUUUUGAUAAUGGACUAUGUUGAAUGUGUUUAUUGCAUGUUUUAUUUCAUUUGAGUCAAAGUGUGUAUACAUUGUUCAUUACUGUUUGGAGCCCAUUUGUAUGUCUGAUUUAGAUUGUACAGUUUACUGAGCUGUUUCUUAG